AGCGGUAAGCGCACUGUCGCUUAUGUACGUUUGUAUAUGAGAGGAAAGUCCGGACACUCUGGCGACCGUAAGGUUGUCAGCCAAAAGUGGCAGGUAAUACCUGCUCGCUUUAUACGCGAAGGACUGGCAGGUAAAAAGGUAGACACACGUGUAUAUCUUUUUUGCCAGCGAAGAGCGCAACAGAAACAAACCGCUUCGCCUUUGGCGAAGUAAGGGUGAAAUUGUAGUGUAAGAGACUACGCAGCUGGGCGGUAACGUUUGGCUGGGGCAAGCCCCACUUAGUGCAACUCCAAGCAUGUUUACCACAAGGUAAGCAAGGUAGGAGGCUUGAGGGAUAUUGCGAAAUAUCUCCUAGAUAGAUGAUAGUGGCCUCGCCUCUCUGGCGGGGUACAGAAUCCGGCUUAUAGCUUACCAAAAAUU
rnacentral:RNase_P_RNA from 1 species